UGAAGGAUGAUGUGUUACAGAUGCUGCGUGCAGAUAUGUGAGAGCAGUUGCAGAGCUUGUUGCUGGGUUUCCACCGAGGGGAUAAUUAAAAAUGAGUGCCAGCCUUGAGCAGUCAAUUAGCACUGAGUAACAAGAUGAAAGAUAAAAGGCAGAUGUAAUCAUAUUUCACAAAUAAUACAUCAGUGUGCCUCUAGUCUAAGAAUCCUUUCUAAAUCAGCUUUUCACAGCAAGUGAACAUAUUUUUUUCUAGUUUCCUGCGGCUUCUUUUAGCAUUCAUCUAGGGAAUGUGAGUGCUGGACCACAGACACUCUUCUGGUGGGUGUCUGUGGUAGGACAGUCUACUACAGUGUACCCUGAGAACGUUUGGGUAGAAAUUUGGGAUCCAUUUCUGUUUCUUGGUGCAAGUUUGGUAGUACAAUUUAUCUGUGUGAUAGAGGCCAAGGGGAUUAGACAGGGAAAUGGGAUGUAGAGGAAUAGGGAAGAGUGUGAAGAGGAGUUUGAGGCAGCAGCAAGGAGAAGUGGUUUAGCAGGAGAAAUGGAAGCUGGACAGGAGGAUAAAUGGGAGAUUUAUCAAUUGUGUGCCUCACAGUUGCAUUUGUACCUUUUUUCCUGCCUCUCCUGGUGAGGUCACGUUAAAGAAUCAUGGAUUCUUUAACCACCAUGUUAGUGCCAGGAUCUCAAAACUAUUUGCUCUUAUGAGGAGAACAUUGUUCCUAACAUUGUCAGGAGCCUUUCCAUCUGUCUGGAGGGCAGGGGUCCAGCACGUUCAGAUCAUGCACCAGACACAGAAUGAUAAAACCAAUAAGGGAUAUUUAAAAGUGUUUUACCUCUGCCAUAAUGGCUUCUCUGUUCCUCAGCCUUCAGGCCCCUUUCUGUCUUUUGAGAGGCAACAGUUGGUAGUUUUGGCCAGAUAGAGAGGAGAGAUGAAAAGGAAAUUUCUAUCCAAAUGUCUUCAGAACAUAAUGUUGCUAAAGGAAAUAAAGGAAUGUAAAAUAAAAACAUACAUAAUAUUAUUUUGCUGCUUCUUUUCCAGCCUCAUAUUGGACCCACUUGAUAUCUCAGGCUAGCUAAAUAAACAUUUACCUCUGCAAAAAGAAUUUCCAUUCAUAAUAAAACCAAAUCCAAUUGUAAAGCUCUGCUCAAGGAGAAUUAAAAUUGCCUGUCAGUUUACUUGCUUUCCAGGAAACAGCUUAGCAAAAUUCUUAUUCUCCAAGGAUCAUCAGAGCUGUAAUACCUCCCUGUGAGCUUACUGUACUUUAAGAAACAGCAAGGCAAAUUUACAGGAACAGGCUUUAGCUGAGCUGGCUCAUAAUUGUAGGCUGCUUUGAUGUUUUCACUUGGAAGGUGUUUUUCACAAUGCAAGAUGUUUAUACUUGCUGUUCUAAAGGACUAAUUCAAACAUCAGGCUCUGAAAAUCAGGCAUAGCAGACAGUCCUCCUAUCCUAGGAGCACUUGAACAGAUCUGACAUAGAAAGGACAUUGGGAUUUUUCCUUGUUUUUGGGGGUAAAAGCUUUGCUGAAAAGACAGAAGCUAAUCCAGAAGUUGAUGACAAUGCAGAGGAGUCAGAUGAAAGCUGCGUCUUGGCUUUCUGUGCAAGAUUUCAGUUCACUGCCUGCGAGUCUCUUGGGCUCAGGAGUGGCAGCUGCUGGUUUGAUUCCAUUUGUGAAACGCGGAGUACUCAAAGGGAGGUACCGAUUGGAAAAGACCAAAGGCAUCUGUAAGCUCAGGGUUCUGAAGCACCCUCCAACAACCUGUCCACAGCAUCUUCCAUCCGCUCCAAGUAGGAAGCAAAUGGACUGAGAAGAACGGGCCAUUAGCAGUGAUUGCACAACCCGACCUCUUUGAUCGGGUGGCAUUUAUUCAGUGAGCCAGCGAGCCUUUUUUUUGGUUCACCUCCCUCAUUUUAUCUGGGUGUUUUGUGGGCAAUCUCAGCUGAGAGUUAAGACAGAAAGGCAAAGAAACAGGGCUAAAGUCAUUGCUGGGGCACUGCGGGGAAAUGUGGGAUCUUUCAGUCCUGCUCUCGCUGCUCUGAUACCUCCUCUGAGCGGAGAUUUGACAGUAAUGUGUGUAAUUUCAUCACAAACCCAUUACUCUACCAAAAUAUUUCAUUGUAUUAUACUCCAUCCAGGACUGAAGAAAGUUUCUAUGCUAUUAUCCCUUCUACAGAAAUUCCACGUGCAUUAGGUGCUUCCCAAAAGACAUGUAGCUGCUCCUGGCAAUUAAGUGAUUUCUAAUUAAAAUUAUAAUUUAAUUAAUUACAAUAAUUCCAAAUAAUUUGGAAAAUGUAUGGUAUUUCAGAUUUUUAAACACCUUAGAAAUAUGAGUCUUGGAUAUGAUUAUUGAGCAAUGACUAAAAAAAUCAGGAGUAUUUGUAGUGGUAACUGAAAUUACCACUUGUUUCCAGUUAAUCCACUGGGCAUUUAUAAAGUCAUAUCUUAGAGAAAGUAGAUUGGGCACUUACUUCUAUUUCCACAAUCUUUAUUAGCUAGAUUUAAAUGCUCAUAUUUACUCACAUAAAUUUACUCAUACACAUAAAUCACAUAGAUUUACUCACAUAAAACACAAUUAAUUGAAGAAAAGAUGGUGCAAUAAAAGCAGAAACCUCCUGCAAUCCACCCCCAGCAGUCAUAUGUGCGUUGACUGUUUUACAGGGGUUUUUUAAUAUCCUGUUUUGCAGACAAUAUUGCCACUCCCAGGGAUGGGGGAUUCCCAGCUCUAUGCAUUACUUUUACACAUACAACAAAGCUGUCACAUUUGUCCUCCAGAACAUGACAAUCUACAAAACUAGCUGGCGUGGCUUCUGACUGCCAAAGAAGCAUAUAUUUAUUAAUGGAAAGCACAAGCUUCCUUCAGAGAAGUAAGUCCACUAUGAAUUGGAAGCAAAAGGAGCCUGAUGAUAACAGUGUAUACUGGAAGCCUCCCCAUUUAUCACACUAUUUCAUCCCUCUGUUUUUAAACAAAAAUCAUUCUCAGGAAGUAGCAAGGCUUGCAAAUAUUUCUGCUGCUGGAUUAACUGGAUAUUAUUAAACCACAGAGAGUAAUGAUGCACAGAAAGGGCAAGACUUUCCUGUGGCACAGGAUAGAAACUAUAUGUGAAUACUCAAACUUUUGAUGGCAUUUUGAUGGAAUUUCUAACCAUUGAUGCAGAAAACCCAUUUACAGCACAAAGUGGAACAGGCUAAUGAACAAUUUGGCCACUCAGUGCUACCUGGGAGUCAGUCACUUCCUCUGCCAUGGCUUAAACCCAGGCAGGCACCAAGCACCGCGCAGCCGCUCGCUCGUCCUUGGCUCUGUGCUAGCCCUGCUCAGCAAUAACAAAAACAUCUCUCUGUUAUCAACACUGUUCCCAGCACAAAUUCAAAACACAGCCCCACACCAGCCACUGGGAAGAAAAUUAAUUCUACCCCAGCCAAAACCAGCAUGCCCUAGCUAAAGCUUUUUGAGAUCAGUAAGGAGCAAGAAUUCCUUUCCUGCCAAGUUGCCCUGGACAGAAAUCCUGCUUCAGUAGUUACAUGAUACCACUUGGGGAAAAUGGAGUGAUACCAACUAUACAUCAAGUAUAAUUGUUUGGAUAUGUAAUUUUCCACAGAAGGAUUCAGCAUCAAAAAUUCCACAGUAUUUAGUGCUUGAAUGAAGAACCAGUUAUUCAGAUUAAUGGUGUGCUGUGCCAAAACAACAGUAGCUGCCUCCCAGAGCUAUCUGUGCAGUUAGAAUAUAUUUUCUUCUUUCCAUCCAGAUGUUGAUGUGAUCAGAAAUAUCAGCCAAUUUAUUAAGUUCAGAAGCAGCAUGGCCAAAGCUCAUCCUUAAUCUCGACCCCAUUUCCUGGUAUCCUGCCAGAAGAGAUCCUGACUGCAGCAGCCCAUUAGUUACCAUGGUUGUCCAGAGGUAAAGACAACACCAGGGUUUGCUGCUGAAGAAUGCAAUGUCUUAUUUUCAGGGGGAUUAAGAGCUGCAGAUAUUUUGUGUCUGAUCUUUUUAGCUUCAGGUCUACUCUGCCUGCCAAUUUGAGGGUCAGAUCCUAAUCUUCAAAGCCAUCAGCAAGUUUUAAUCUCUUUAAUAUUGGCCGAGCAUCGCUAUCUGCACUAUAGCUAAAGAGCUGCAUCCUCUCAGAAAAGCAGCUCAGAGUGUCCAGGGCAAAGUACACUGAGGCUGAAGACAGAUGGUUUUGGCAGAGGGGCUUCACUACUGGCUCAUCUCCUCAAGGAGGUCACACACUCAGCAGUCCUGAACCAUAAAACCUUGUCUCCUUUCCAAAGUUACCUGCUUUCCAUGUGGAAUGUUCCACUCAUCUUUCUGCUGCAAUUUUUUUUUUUUCAAUAUCAGGAUCUUAGAACUGUCAGCUAAGAUUGCUCAGAUUUAUUUACACUCUAGAAUGAGCAAACCUACUGUCAUUGAAAAGUACUUGCACAAUAAUGAAACAAUAAAUUAUGUUGCUUAUUUUGAGAUACUUUUAAGUGACAUGAUGGAAAUAAAUGCAGUUAGUUCCCAAAUUGAAGUGAUUUUUUGAUACACCUGCAGACCUUUCUUGUGAAAAGCUUCUUUUCCAGUAGAACUGAGUUGAUUAGAAUUAUAAAGUAAAUUUUUCAUUACAGACAACUAUUAUGUUACAUAUGCAGCUCCCUUAAGAAAUGGCCUCUUCUUCCUUUGCACAUAUUCUGAUGGAGAUAAUCCCCUGCAGCUGGUGAUUCAUGCUGAGAUUGCUCAAGCAACUGUUUGAUGCAAGAUUUACAUUUGCAGUAGAGUGCCUACAUUGUGUGAAGGGACUCUUGCAGAAAAAUAGAUUUAUUUUUCCUUUAUAAGCAAUCAGCAGUGUUCCAAGUGGUGAGGCAAUGCUGGGAGUCAGGUACCAGCAUGAAAAUUAUCUGAUCCAUACAGCAGCCUCCAGUUUGCUCCAUUUUUUUUUUUUAAUGAAGAGGAGGAAAUAAAGGGGAAAUGUUAAGCAAAACCAAUCAAAUACUGGCCCCACAACUAUUGUCGCAUUUAUUUUGCAGUUAUUUUUCUGCUUUGGAGUAGGCCAACAGGAGAACUUUGCCUGUUGAUAUUUCUAUGAUUGUUUAGGAGAGAAAGCAGAGACUGUCUUUGCCCCAGUGGUGCUUGCCUUCAUAGCCACCCUCCUAUUUGGCCAGAAACAUUGAAAUCAUUAAAUCAGCACCACUAAUUGCUGCAGCUUCAUUUUCAAACUUUCAGCAUUUAAUAGUUUUAUUUGAUACUUCAGGCCCUGAAGAAUCUCAACCCUCACUUUUGAAAAGUUAUUAGGUCUCACUGAGAAGAAAAAUGAAAGAUGAAUCCAAGUGCACCUUAAGAGCUGAGAUUUACAGCGAAACUGUCUUCAUUUAUUAUUUCCCAGCUAGAUUGCAUAAUUUGUGAUAUUUACACAAUAUAACAACUAUAUAUGUUUAAAAUUAUUAAUUGUAUAUAUAUGUGUGUGUGUAUGUAUAUGUGUAUAUAUAUAUAUAUAUAACAAUUUUGCCAAAGAUUCUGUUAUAGAUAUCAAUUAUUUUUUUUUCUGAGAGAACUUUUUUAUAAUUUAAGUAUUAAAUGGUUUCCCCUCAAAGACACUUUGCAGAUUCCAGUUUUGUGAUUCACUGAUGAAGGGAGUUAUUUUCAAUCUUUCCCAUGAUCUCAGUGUCAUGGGAUUUUUGUUCUCUGGGAGCCAUGAUGACACAAAUAACAUUAGCAAUAACAAAUGGUUUAUCCAUAUUGAAUUUGUGAUAAGAAAUCAACUCAUGGCUCCUGAUAAUUUCUUAGUGGGCAGGAGGUUUUGUUUCCAGCUGCCAGUACAAACCCAGCUGUUAUCAGCUGGGGAAGGCUGCAUAGACUCAACCAGAAUUCAGCAGACCAUUUAUUUACAUCUUUUCCUUGUGCUUUCUGAGUAAUUUGUCAAGUGACAUACUCUCUCUGCUUCAGACAGUAUCUGUAAAAUGGGAUCCUUUAGAUUUCCUUCUGUUUGACUAUAAACAGGUUGUUACAUUUUGUGUCAUCUCUGCCCUUGUAGCAGAGCACUUCACAAAGGAAAAUAAUAGGAGUGAGAAUGAAUAUUGAGUGUUUAUCGCAAGGGGAGCUUGAUUUUGAAGCCUGUAAAUGUAUUUAUGUAUCUGCAUAUAAUGAAUAAAGUUAUUAAUAAAGUGAUAAAACUUUUAAAUGAUGAGGAGGCUUAUCCAGUGUGCAAAUUCCUGAUGCUGCAGGUCGGGUUAU